rnacentral:lncRNA from 1 species
UUGGCUGGUAACUACCUAUUAGAUCUUGUAUAUUGAGAAGCAGAUUUGUUCUCUGGCCACAUUGGAAGACCUGUGUCCUGUCACGGCAGGGUCAGUCUGUAGAACACAAGAACAGCUGUAGGGACAUCUGGGUUGACUCUUGGAGGCCAAAGCACCAUAAACUUCUUUUUCUUGUUUGCUCUUUACUCAACACUGUGCUGAAUAGCAAUAUAACUUCUAACCAAGGGGUUAGAGUCAAGAACGAGUACUUUAUGUUCCAAACACACCCUCUGUUCAAAAGGCUGAUGUGUGAGGGUCAUGAAUUACAGGCAUUCUACACAGAGAGAUCCUGUCUCA